rnacentral:rRNA from 1 species
UACGAAGGGGGCUAGCGUUGUUCGGAAUCACUGGGCGUAAAGCGCACGUAGGCGGAUUUUUAAGUCAGGGGUGAAAUCCCGGGGCUCAACCUCGGAACUGCCUUUGAUACUGGAGAGCUUGAGUCCGGGAGAGGUGAGUGGAACUCCGAGUGUAGAGGUGAAAUUCGUAGAUAUUCGGAAGAACACCAGUGGCGAAGGCGGCUCACUGGCCCGGUACUGACGCUGAUGUGCGAAAGCGUGGGGAGCAAACAGG